AUUGAACGCUGGCGGCAUGCCUUACACAUGCAAGUCGAACGGUAACGGGCCUUCGGGUGCCGCCGAGUGGCGAACGGGUGAGUAAUACAUCGGAACGUGCCCGAUCGUGGGGGAUAACGAGGCGAAAGCUUUGCUAAUACCGCAUACGAUCUACGGAUGAAAGCAGGGGACCGCAAGGCCUUGCGCGGACUGAGCGGCCGAUGGCAGAUUAGGUAGUUGGUGGGAUAAAAGCUUACCAAGCCGACGAUCUGUAGCUGGUCUGAGAGGAUGAUCAGCCACACUGGGACUGAGACACGGCCCAGACUCCUACGGGAGGCAGCAGUGGGGAAUUUUGGACAAUGGGCGCAAGCCUGAUCCAGCCAUGCCGCGUGCAGGAUGAAGGCCUUCGGGUUGUAAACUGCUUUUGUACGGAACGAAAAGCCUUCUUUUAAUACAGGAGGGUCAUGACGGUACCGUAAGAAUAAGCACCGGCUAACUACGUG
rnacentral:rRNA from 1 species